GCGUAUGCAACUUUCCUGUAACUGGAGGAUAGCCCCUGGAAACGGGGAUUAAUACUGCGUAAUACCUAAAUACCGCAUGGUAUUAAGUGUCAAAUCUACGGAGGUUACAGAUGGGCAUGCGUGCCAUUAGCUAGAUGGUAAGGUAACGGCUUACCAUGGCAAUGAUGGCUAGGGGUUCUGCAAGGAAGGCCCCCCACACUGGUACUGAGACACGGACCAGACUCCUACGGGAGGCAGCAGUGAGGAAUAUUGGUCAAUGGAGGCAACUCUGAACCAGCCAAGCCGCGUGAAGGAAGACUGUCCUAUGGAUUGUAAACUUCUUUUGUGGCAGAAUAAACUACCGUACUUGUACGGUAUUGCAUGUAUGCCAUGAAUAAGCAUCGGCUAACUCCGUGCCAGCAGCCGCGGUAAUACGGAGGAUGCAGGCGUUAUCCGGAUUUAUUAGGUUUAAAGGGUGUUCAGGCUGCCUGGUAAGUCAGGGGUGAAAGUCGGUUGCUCAACGAUCGAAUUGCCUUUGAAACUGUCAGGCUCGAGUAUGGAUGCGGUAGGCGGAAUGUGUAGUGUAGCGGUGAAAUGCAUAGAUAUUACACAGAACACCGAUUGCGAAGGCAGCUUACCAAACCAGCACUGACGCUGAAGCACGAAAGCGUGGGGAGCGAACAGGAUUAGAUACCCUGGUAGUCCACGCCGUAAACUUUGCUCACUCGCUGUUGGCGAUAGACAGUCAGCGGCCA
rnacentral:rRNA from 1 species